GAGGGGAACGAACCCUAGACCGUGAGCAGCUGCCACUCUCCCUCCUCUGCUCUUCCCGUCUCCAGCCUGCGCCGCCUCUCUGAUUCCUCUUUCGGUCCUCGCCGCCGCCGCCACUCAUCCUUCACCUCUUCACCCUCGCCGCUUCUCCACAACGCUAGCCCCUCCACCUGUCCUUCCUUCCCUUCGUUGUCUGGUGGCCAUGGGAUGCGCCUGGAUCCAGAUCGGGCGUAGUAGGUGAGCUGAUGGUUGGGUGAAGGAGUAGGGGAGGCGGGCGAUGAGGACAGGAAGAAGCCGGCCGUCCUGGUACAAUGGGGCAGCCGGGAAGAAGGAGGAGGUCGGCUGCGUCCCCGGGGUUGUCGGUGCAGCUGCUCCUCAACGAGAUUCGGCCAUGGAGAGGACCGUGGUGGCAGCACAGCCUCGCCCCCUCUGCCGCUAGCCCGACCUUUCUCUUCUCGCGUCCCUUUCUAUGUCAUCGGCUCGCGCUGCUGCUCUGGUAGGCAUCCUCCUCAUCCUCGGUGCUCAACAGAUUUUAUUUUCGUAUGCAUACAAGGUGUUCGACGAAAAUCCUAGAAGGCCGGCAGGGGACGAGUGAUCUAUGAGAGGAGGACAGCCACAGCAGCAAGCGGCGUGCUGUCCCAGCCAGCUGUCGUACAUAGCCGAGUCGAUUUUGCGUUGCCUUACCUCCUGUUGUUUGGUUUUCCGCUUUUGCUCACUUCUCCUUCCAAUGUUGGUGCAGGAUCGUUCGUUGUUCGGCUGGCUGCUGAGGUUUGCCAACGACGUCAGUUUGUUAUUUUCUCCUGAAGGUUCUUUGUUGAUUCGUUGGACGUGUGUGAUGCUGACCAACAAGGUUAGGUUUCCUCUGGUUGUCUUUCUUGAUAAGGUCUGUACACAUUCAUAAACUCGUGUGUUUGUGCGGUCAGGUUGGCUGUCUAUAUGUUUUGGGGUUCGCCUGCUCGCUGUAUUGACAACCAUAGAAAAAUAUAGCAAGAGUAAAAUUAGGCUUGUUGUUUGAGAUGAUUCCUUUCCACGAUAAAUAAAUUGGAGUGGUUUCAAACACUUAAGCCCUUGAUCGGACAGAGAAACACGGGUUGAACUGAACUCUAUAUAUAUAGUGUUAUCUAUUCUUGUGGUGCUUUUAACUUUGAUCUUGCAACUGAACCUGCAAACUACUUAUUUUUGUGGAUUGGUAAACCUGAAUGUCGGAAACUAAAUGGGUGGCCCUGGGUUCAGUGGCGUUCAAGUACGACAAGACCAUAUUAUGACAGGAGCAUAAAGGCAUAAACACGAAAGCAUGAAACUAAAUGUGUUCCCUGGGUGGUCUUAUACAUUGAGACUAGAUACAAAAGGUUCCGCAAAGAGGGACUCAAGUCUACAACCACCAAAGAGAUAAGGCCAUGAACAAUAGUAUGUGGCCGUGCUAUGCAAAUUUUCUCUCAUCGAGGUAUGCCUCUGUCUCAAUGGGCCAAGGCUCGACUUGCCUGCCACAUAUUUAUUUUCUUUGCUGCACGAUGUUGUGAGAUUGGGGUGUGUUGAGUAUGCAAUCCUGAUUCCAGGAAAAAAAUGAUUACGCAGUUUGUUGGACGUGUUUAGUUUGGAGGGGUCUGCAGGUGGUGGUUAUGAUUCGGUUUCCAUUUGAUGAUUUCUUCAAAUGAUUCAGGAGAUAAAUCCAAGGCCAUUAUUUGGUUCUACCUGGUGCAAAAUCUCUCGUUGUUCUACUUAAUUAUACCACAUGUAGAAAAGUGGAUAUUAUUUGUUGAUGAGUUUUUUGCUGUUUUGUACUGACCAUAUUAAUUCCCUCGGGCUGUAAGAAUUAAAAACCUUAUUUUUACCCUAUGGUUAUAUGUUAAAGAUAUUUUAUAGAUUGCAAGAUUGAGUUCUUUCUCUUCGGUAUGGUUGGUUUAAUUUCUCAUCUUUUCAUAUCUUAUAUCCUUUGCUGUGAUGCUAUGCAUACCUAUGAAGUACAUGUAUGUUACCAUAAAACAUGUGGAUUGAUCCAAUGCCGCCAUCCAUCAAAGUUUGUAUUAGGCAGAUAGUCUUUAUGAACCUAAUUACAACAUUGUAAAUUGCUGUUUCAUUCAGCAUUCUUUUGAGUUUUCAUGAGAUACUCAUGUUAGGAAUAGCAGGUAAUGGAGAUUAGAAUUUGGAACUUAUCUCUUUGCCAGCACAAUUUCAAGUUUCUCUAUCUUACUCUAUUUCAUUAAAUAUAUUUCUCCUCUCAUUCCAUCAUUCAAUCUGUCGGUUACUCAUGAUGAGUGAUUAUAUGCAAUCAUCCGACAAUAAUUAAUUUAGAUAAUUAGUUAUGCCAGGUUGCUACAUUUCUAUCUCCUUUUUGCCAAUAUGAAAUAUGAUGGCAUAUUAAUAUUUAGAUCCAAGUCGUCGUCCGCUGCAGCAUCACCCUUCUUUUCCGCCGCCCUAACUUUUUUACACCCCAGGCCUAGCAGGCGAUAACGGCGCCAUGAGGAUUCGCUGCCGUGAGGAGGACCCCGGCCCGUAUGAUGUCCACCGGAAGGUCACACACUUCCUUGGCUCGCUCAGACUGGCUCCAUUGAUGGCUUCUCGAAGGUAUCUUCUUGUGCAGCUUCACACUUGCUUGUGUGUCUUGCAAAAAAGUAAGCUACCUGGUACCUCUUUAGUCUGCUUUAGCAGGCGUAUGCAGAGGAAGCCAAGGGAUACAUGAUAUUGGUAAUUUACUAAUGAUCCAUAUUGUUGGAAUAAUUUUGUUGCAAAUAUUUUCGUUGGUUGUCCUUUUAUUUUAUUUAUAAUCUUGCCUCGAUCAUGUCUUCCAUUGUGCUUCUUCACUGAAAAGGUGGUCUGCAUAUGUGCACUUGCUGAGAAUGGAAUAAUCUCAUGAAUUCUAUUGAAAACAUAAGUUACUUAUUUUAGUAUGCUUAAUGUUUGGUUUUAGUAAUUAUGUCUGCUUUAGCAGCCAGGAGCAUCCCCUCCCAUUUUUGACUUUGAACCAUGUGCCCUGUUUAAACCAGCAUAGUUCGAUGACCUUAUGCAAUUAUUUGGUACAAAGAAUGUGCUGAUAAAGUAUUUUUACUUUUACUUUACUGUGUUUAGUUCCGAGGUAUUGAUACUCCUGUCAAUCUGCUCUAAUCUGGUUCACCAAUAUCCUGAAGGAAUUAGACCAUCUUAUAUCUUUUUUUUCUGAUUUUGGUUGGACACCUGCUUAGAUGGGUGAACUUUUAACCCAUCUUUUAUUGCUUGGAGGUGUAUUUGUUGGGUUCCUCUUGGCGUGUUGAACAAAAAUUGGCGUUCAACACUGCUAUUUAAAGAUGGUUUGGUUAGUACUAGGGAAAACCCAUAGAUGGAAGGAAAUUAUUGUAGGUGAGAGCAUGGUACCCCGUCUCUUCCUAUUUUGUUCAUUUCUUAUAGUAUUACUUUGAGGCAUUAUUUAUAGCAAAAGAAUUAGGUUGACCAUUUAAUAUCCUUAUUCCUUAUCAUGCUAUGCAGAGGCCCUUAGGUUUGCAUUUGGAUGCUAAUUGUUUAAUAAACAUCAUGCAUUAGUUAGCUAUAAUCAUUUAUCUUUUCCACAAACAUGAUGAUUAUGUUUAGUAGGAUUGUCCGUUACAUAUCCCAGUGAUGUAUCAUUGUAAAGUAAGGUUUAAGGAGAUCUAAUCCUGGGCAUAUCAAUGUAAGAGCACGUUUUUAAAGGAAAUAUGCCCUAGA